rnacentral:rRNA from 1 species
AACGAACGCUGGCGGCAUGCCUAACACAUGCAAGUCGAACGAGACCUUCGGGUCUAGUGGCGCACGGGUGCGUAACGCGUGGGAACCUGCCCUUAGGUUCGGAAUAACUCCCCGAAAGGGGUGCUAAUACCGGAUAAUGUCUUCGGACCAAAGAUUUAUCGCCUUUGGAUGGGCCCGCGUUGGAUUAGCUAGUUGGUAGGGUAAAAGCCUACCAAGGCGACGAUCCAUAGCUGGUCUGAGAGGAUGAUCAGCCACACUGGGACUGAGACACGGCCCAGACUCCUCGGGGAGGCAGCAGGGGGGAAUAUUGGAAAAUGGGCGAAAGCCUGAUCCAGCAAUGCCGGGUGAGUGAUGAAGGCCUUAGGGUUGUAAAGCUUUUUUACCCGGGAUGAUAAUGACAGGACCGGGAGAAUAAGCCCCGGCUAACUCCGU